rnacentral:ncRNA from 1 species
AAUAUGCUGAACUAUGUCUGAUUAGGGCAAGAAACUGUGGUAGAAGUCCAAAGCUGUUCUGACAUUACAAUUGAUUGUCUGGCAUGGGUAUAGGGGUGAAAGAUUAAUCAAAUCAUUUAAUAG